AUCCUAUGAGUAACAUAAAACACUCAGUCAUGACAAACAGAAGCUGGAAUUCUUGGUGAGAAGGGAGGCAGAAAGCACCAGGUCUGUGAUGUGCCCUACCACUGUGAAUCUCUCUGCAAAUUCAUGGCACUGAUGGUCUCACUUUGCCAGCAGCAGCACCAGUGGAGAGAGAAAAUACGCCUUUUUGCUACAUUGUGCAAAAGAUCAGUUUUCUGGGCCAGUCAUGCCAUCAAGAGGCUGUUUUCCUGCUCGUGAUUCUUACACUAGUUAAUGGCUUCUUUGUGUGCAUCCAGAUUUCUGGUCUAAACUGUGUUUUUGUCCUUUCACUGGAGUGAAAUCUUGAAGUUUGUUCAGUUUGUCAGUGUGAAGACACUGUAGUUCUUGAACACCUGCCCAUCUGAACCAAUUGUUUGCUUCCUCAAGGUGCUGAGUUAAUACCUGAACAUAUCAUCAUACCUGGGAGAAAUGACAAAUGAGAACUUGACUAAAUUCUCAGCUGAUGAUAGAUGAGCCUAUGAUUGCAGAGUCCAGGCUACAUCAUAAUUUGACUUCAAAGGAGUCCUGGGAACCUCAGACCAGCCUGGCUCCACAGGUGAGAUGGCACAGCCUGUCCUGGAAAUUAAGAAAACUGAGUGCAUGGGAAUGCAGCCUGAUGAGAAAGUGCCAACAUGGCUCCUGUAAAGUGAAGUACUGCUCAGCCUGACAAGACCAGGGCAGGGCAGGAAUGGUGGAAUCUCCAAACAGGCAAGUUGCAGGAGUUUGUGAAGUUAUGAUGCAACAUGCAAACUGGAUGUGGAUGCCAUUUGCAACAGCCACAGCACAAAAGACUUCCAUGAGACCAUUAAAGCAAGAAAGUGCAAGCAACAAAAGAAGGAUCUCAUCUUAAAUUCCGUGUUGGUAAAAACUUGUUCUUGCUGUAGAAAUGUUACACAGAAAUAAUGAUGUAGUUUCUUCAUGCCUGUUAGGCUGCUUCAAGCAGUAAUAGUUCAUACAAAUAUAUUUUUCAUAUUUUUAGAUGUGCCACUAAAAGUAUUUUUAGAUGAAUGAAUUAAUUAAUGGAGAUUGUUUUUUUGCAGUAUCUCCGUACACUUCUUCUCUUGCAAUUGUUUGUGACUGGUUUUCUUUACACCUCAAAAAAUAGACUGAAAGGAAACCUGAGGAAAAGCUCUGCAUUGUUGUCUCCAUGCAGAAGGGAAAACAGAGCCUGCAAAUAUGAUAUGUUGUAAUGAACAUCAUUAAUCCAUUUUAGUGAAGCCUGGGAGAAAUGGAGCAAGUUUUGGUAAACAAACUCCAGAUGGAGAUAACAGAAAACGUGUAGAAAAAUGGCACUCAGAGGGAAUACCUCCAAAAUAUAAUUAAAUGGGAAGAAGGAUUCAAACAUGAUGAAUGAAGCAAUAUUUUAAUUGCAGUUUUGAGAGAAUGUUUUGAUGUUUGGGGUUUUUGAGGAUGAGAGGUUAUAUAUAUUUCUCAAAAUAAAAUUUAACUGCUAUUUUAACACUAGCAUUUAGUUUUGAGAUCUGUUGACACUUAAGUUCCAGCGCUACCUCAUGGCAGUAUUUCUACAUUUUCCACUUUUGUUUAUAUUGAUUAAGUAACGUUGAUUUGCAUACAAACCCAGGCUCUCCCCAGUUACCAUAGCAGAAUGAGAGUGUGAACUGUUGUCUUGCAUUAGAAUCUUUUGACCCUGCCUGCCACGUACUAUGAAGAUUACUGAAAUAAGAUCUAUUAAUGCCCUGCCAUGGGCAGGGACACCUUCCACCAGCCCAGGUUGCUCAGAGCCCCAUCCAGCCUGGCCUUGAACAAUUCCAGGGGUGCAGCAGCCACAGCAUCUCUAGGAAACCUGUGCCAGGGCCUCACCACCCUCACAGGAAGGAAUUUCUUCCUAAUAUUUAACCUAAACCUACUCUCUGUCAGUUUGAAGCCAUUCCCCCUUGCCCUGUCACUCCAGGCUCUUGUAAAUAGUCUCUCUCCCAUCUUUCCUGUGGGCUCCCUUCAGGUAUUGUAAGGCCACAAUUAGGUCAUGCCAAAGCCUUCUCUAUUCCAGAAGAAUCCAAAUUCUCUCAGCCUUUCCUCAUGGGAGAGGGGCUCCAUUCCUCUGAUCAUCCUCUUGUCCUUCUGUGGAUGAUGAAUAUUGCUUUUCCUUUUAAGCCUACAUAUUUUCUCCUCAAUGUGUAUUUUCCACUUUUCAGCCCUAUUUGAUCACUGUGGAACUUGCUGCUACAGCACAUGAAAAACUUACAGCUGAGCUUGAAAAAAACAAAAUAGACAAAUUCAUAGAUGUAUAGUUCAUUCAAGCUUAUUCAACACAAAGAUAUCACAUUUGGCUCAGGAAUGGCCUAAGCCUCAGGGUGGGUGAAGUCAUAUUUUACUGUAGCAAACACUUUCUCUUGCUUGCAGUCUUUUAAAGUAUAUCUUGUAGACUGGAUUAGACUUUUGACCCUGUGUGUCUAUUCUAAAAAUAGACAAAAAUGACUCCAAUAUGUGUGUUCAGCUCACAAAACUAGGGUGGAGUUACUAAGGGUGUAGACCUGAGGGAUUAGGAAGAGGCAGAUUUUUUUUUCUGUCAGUUUCCCUCUCAUAAUGGUGCUUCUGAAUAAAUAAAAAUACAGUCUCUAUGACAAGUAACAUUUUUUCCCAGUGAAUAUCUCAUUGUGAUUUGCCCAUGUUGUAAGGUCUUUCACCAAGUGUCAUUGCAUGUAUGUAAUACAGAGGAAAAGUAAUUUUGUGCACUUUGCGAAAAACUGAACUACUUUAUUAGAAUGAAUCUUAGGCGGGGAAAAAAAAAAGCGUUAGUUGUAACUUAUUUCAAUUUGUUUUAAUAGUCAGGUGAAUAUUAGAAAAUAGAAAAAUUCCAAACCUCAAACCCCAAUCAAGAUGAAAACAAAAAAUACCCCCAAAUUAUAACUUAAAAGAGCAAAACAGUAGAUCAUAGCAAAACCUCAAACCUCAUUCUGCAGUUCUCAAAUUUUCCUUUUGGUCUGUAGAGUAAGCAGGAUAGCAGCAGUUUUGGAACAUAGGAUCGACAAUCAGAACAAUCUUGUUAAAUUAGAUCAACAGACUGUAUCCUGAAAAAUGUGCAGGCAUGCAGAAGAAAGUGGGAAAGUUAAGUAAUAGGUUAGUGCCAAAUGCAUAACAGUAGAAGAGAGAAGUUGUCUAAAUAAUUAUAUCAUAGAGUAACAUUUAUGGGUUAAAAUGAAUGAAGACAUUUGUACAGGUAGAGUGCAUUAGGAUUAUCACAUAAAAAAAUUAAGGACGAUUGAUCUGUUACUGAAUCUGCCAGAAACUAGGUAUUUGGCAAGUGUUUUCUGUUCAGUACAGGUCAGAAGUCUUAUAAAAUAGAAGAAUAGAAGAGUUUGUAUAGUAAGGAGACUUUAAAGGUCAGAUAGUCCAACCUCACUUGCAGUGAGCAGGGACAUCUUCAGUUAGAUCAAGUUGCUCAGUUGUCCAAUCUGACCUUGAGCCAUCCUUGUGAUGGAUUUAUGCCACAAAAUAAAACCUAGAUUCAAAUUUACCUUUAAAUCAAGAAUCUGAGUUUAUCUAUAGAUUUCCACUGGGAUUCUUUUGUUAUUUUGUAUUUAUCUAAAAUCAACGCUAUUGACCCGUAUUUAACAUUCUUGAUUUAGUACUGAGAAAACAAGAAAGAAAAAGAGGAAGCAAACUUUUUUUCUUCUUUUUUUUUUUUUUGGUAGCAAAUGCCUGUUAUGUUUGUUUUUCUUUUUUUUUUAUAUCUCACAGAAAUAUGAGGUGAGCAGAAAUAAAACACUGAAUACAAUAAAUGGUUCAUUGACAUUAAAAAGUAAACAGAUUAAAAAAAGGGCGGGCACACACCAUGUGAGUUCAAAGGGUAUGAAAAGUAAAUGACUUCUGAUUUUGCUAAAAUACCUGACAAAUAUGAACAGUAAUGAAAAUGACUUUUGGAAAAUUUGAAGAGUGUUUUUGUAAUUACUUUAUUAGACAAUUGCAGAAAUAGUACAAUUCUCUGUUUAUUUGGAUUGCAUGUUUAACAAAAGCUAGUGAGAGGCAAAAGGCUAAUGAAUUAUAGACAGUAAUGUAAUCUUCCCCUCAGUGUCUUAUCUUUCAUAUCUCUUCAAACAAAAUACUUAUCUUUUUGACAGUUUUUGAGCAAAUAAAGCUUUUCUGUGGCCUGAACUCUCCAGGGUGAAUAAAUGUAAGAUCAACAUUCUGCUGGAUUUCAUAGAUUAUUUAAACAGAUUUAUGUCUUAUAUAAUAAACAAAACAAAACAAAACAAAUAUAUAAAUGAAAUGUAAUGAGGUGAAGAUAGUGUACAGUAUCAUUAAACAGAUAUAAUAUUUAAUCAGGAAAAUGAAAUUACUAAGAUGUCUGUUUGUUCUGGAAAAAUACACUCUGAAAACAAACUGGAUACAGUCUAUGAGCUUCUGUCUGCACACUUUUGAGCAGUCUGGAAAAAUCAUAUCUGAAAUUCAUUUAUACUGGACAUUUACCCCCCAAGACUUUUCUGCCAUAAAAUAUGCACUUUUUAAAGAGCAAGUACUUAACUAAUAAGGUUCAUGGUCUUUUGAAGCCAGCUUUAUGAUGUUCUUUCUCUAAAGAACAAUUUAAUUAGAUAUCAAAAUGUCACCUGCAGUGAAUAAAAUCCCUAAAUGUUAAAGUUAGAGCUGUGUGUGCUUACAGAAGUGAAAGUCAGUGAUACUUCUGUUUUACUCUGCAGCUUUAGGGGCUGAGUGGAAGGGUCAUAACAUGUGUUUACAACCAGAAGAAACUAAUUGUCUAAUCUAGGAUCUGAGUCAUUAUCCGUUCACACAUUGAUUUCCACUGGGUUUUGGAUAUAAUAUCAGGGCUUUUGUUUUGGCAGAAAAUAUGGGAUAAUUUUUCAGCAAUUAAUGUUUUAAUGAUUAAUAAUGAUGGGUGAAGGGAAUUUAUAAGACUAAGCAGAAAAUUUCUUUGAAUAUAAACAAGAUUAUAAUUUUUCAGCCAAUACUGAUAAUUCCAAUCGGAAAGAAAAACCUACCUCUGUUAACUCCUUCUGCAAUGAUUAGAAGUUUUUCAUUUAUGUAUUUUGGAUUACAGUAAAUAAUCAUAGAAUCAUAGACUAUCCUGAGGUGUCUAGUCUAGUCCCCUGAAGGAACUCACAAGGAUCAUCAAAGUCCAACA